GGGGUGCUCGAGUGGCGAACGGGUGAGUAACACGUGGGUAACCUGCCCUUGACUUUGGGAUAACUUCAGGAAACUGGGGCUAAUACCGGAUAGGAGCUCCUGCUGCAUGGUGGGGGUUGGAAAGUUUCGGCGGUUGGGGAUGGACUCGCGGCUUAUCAGCUUGUUGGUGGGGUAGUGGCUCACCAAGGCUUUGACGGGUAGCCGGCCUGAGAGGGUGACCGGCCACAUUGGGACUGAGAUACGGCCCAG
rnacentral:rRNA from 1 species